rnacentral:rRNA from 1 species
GAUGAACGCUGGCGGCGUGCCUAAUACAUGCAAGUCGAGCGAACAGACGAGGAGCUUGCUCCUCUGACGUUAGCGGCGGACGGGUGAGUAACACGUGGAUAACCUACCUAUAAGACUGGGAUAACUUCGGGAAACCGGAGCUAAUACCGGAUAAUAUAUUGAACCGCAUGGUUCAAUAGUGAAAGACGGUUUUGCUGUCACUUAUAGAUGGAUCCGCGCCGCAUUAGCUAGUUGGUAAGGUAACGGCUUACCAAGGCGACGAUGCGUAGCCGACCUGAGAGGGUGAUCGCCCACACUGGAACUGAGACACGGUCCAGACUCCUACGGGAGGCAGCAGUAGGGAAUCUUCCGCAAUGGGCGAAAGCCUGACGGAGCAACGCCGCGUGAGUGAUGAAGGUCUUCGGAUCGUAAAACCCUGUUAUUAGGGAAGAACAAAUGUGUAAGUAACUAUGCACGUCUUGACGGUACCUAAUCAGAAAGCCACGGCUAACUACGUG